GCUCGGGUGGUCUAGUGGUCAUGACACUGGUCUAGUAAUCCAGAGGUCCUGGGUUCGAACCCCACCCUGUCUGCC